rnacentral:rRNA from 1 species
ACGAACGCUGGCGGCGUGCUUAACACAUGCCAGUCGAACGGUGAAGCGCCUUCCUUUUUGGUGGGUGUGGAUGAGUGGCGAACGGGUGAGUAACACGUGAGUAACCUGCCCCCUUCUUCUGGAUAACCGCAUGAAAGUGUGGCUAAUACGGGAUAUUCUGGGUCUGUCGCAUGAUGGGUCUGGGAAAGAUAUUGUUUCGGUGGGGGAUGGGCUCGCGGCCUAUCAGCUUGUUGGUGGGGUGAUGGCCUACCAAGGCGGUGACGGGUAGCCGGCCUGAGAGGGUCGGGGGGCGGAGUGGGGGUGAGACGGCGCCGAGGCUGCGACGGGGGGCAGCGGUGGGGGAUAGGGCACGGUGGGCGCACGCGUGGUGCAGCUGCGCCGCGUGAGGGAGGGCGGCCUGUGGGUUGUGGGGGUCUUUCGGGAGUGAAGAAGGCCUGCCUCGUUUGUGGGUGGGUUGACGGUAGCUGGAGAAGAAGCGCCGGCUAACUACGUG